CCAUAGCCCCGAUAGUAACGGUUACCCCACAGCAAACCUUGGGUAAAGAUUGGCGCGAGGAGUAAUAGUGGAUAGCGGGAUUAAGC
rnacentral:misc_RNA from 1 species